UUUGGACGUCCCGUGAAGAAGUCAAGCCGUCGGCGUCAACAGUGGAGCAGACAUUAGACGACCAGCAGCUGUUUGUCAAACCAACACGUCGCACUUUUGUCCUCCUUUUGUGCAAACGUACAACGUCUUUAUUUAUUUUUAAUUCGUCGUGUUACUUGUGGGGGUUGGGGGGGGGGUAUUGUUCGCCCCGAGAGAACCGCGAGAAAGGGCGAGAAGUGACGACGAGGACUUGUGAGACUUGGACAAACAAUAUCCCUCUUCCUCCUCUUCUACCUUCUUCUUGUCUGCUGGGGGAGAGAAGAACAUUUCCCACCGCCUGAAGAAACAUGAGCUUUCUUUUCGGAAAUCGCGCCUCCAAGACGUUCAAGCCCAAGAAGAACAUCCCUGAGGGCUCACAUCAGUACGAGCUGUUGAAACAUGCCGAGGCCACGCUGGGGAGCGGCAACCUGCGCAUGGCCGUCAUGCUGCCCGACGGCGAGGACCUCAACGAGUGGGUGGCAGUCAACACUGUGGACUUCUUCAACCAGAUCAACAUGCUGUACGGGACCAUCACAGACUUCUGCACGGAAGAGAGCUGCCCCGUCAUGUCUGCCGGUCCAAAGUACGAGUAUCACUGGGCCGACGGGACCAACAUCAAGAAGCCGAUCAAAUGCUCCGCCCCCAAGUACAUUGAUUACCUGAUGACCUGGGUGCAAGACCAGCUCGAUGACGAGACGCUCUUCCCCUCCAAGAUCGGUGUCCCCUUCAAGCGCAACUUCAUGUCGGUGGCCAAGACCAUCCUGAAGCGCCUGUUCCGCGUCUACGCUCACAUCUACCACCAGCACUUCGACUCUGUCAUGCAGCUGCAGGAGGAGGCCCACCUCAACACAUCUUUCAAACACUUCAUCUUCUUCGUCCAGGAAUUCAACCUCAUCGACAGGAAAGAGCUGGCGCCGCUUCAGGACCUGAUCGAGAAGCUGACCACAAAGGACAGAUAAACGCCCACGCCCUCCUCCUUUUAACGGUCUUCUAGUUUUGCACAGACACUCCCCCUUCUCCUCCCCCUUUUCCUCUUCGGCUGUAUGUAUGCAGUAUAAACUAUAUUUCCAUUUGGGGAAAUGUUUUUAAUGAGGCCCGGGACGCCGAAAACGCGUGGCGAUGGGUUUAACGCACCGGGAGGCUUCAUCUUAUCAGGGAGUCAAAUGAACAAAAAAAACAUGUUUUAUCGCAACGUUCCACCUUGCUUUAUGUGACAGUUGUUGCAUAUUCACAUUUGCUCUCCCAUAGGAAUCAUUCUCUCAUAUUACCACAAUAUUAGAGUGUUAAGGUAGUAUUUUUCUUAAGGUGGGGGGGAUAUAACGCCAGCCUCAAAGCCAUUCCAAGAGCAGCGACUUUUCCUUCAUUCAGCCGAGUAGUUUGCUGCUUGCGAGUACCGCAUCCUAAGUGCCUGGCCUGGCUCGCUCCGGCCCGGCAUACACAGUGAGAACUGUACGACGGCCACGCGACUUGAUUGACAUGUGAAAUAUACACCCGUUUUUGGUUCCCACUUCCUGCCCCUCUUUGUCUCGCCGCUGGAAUGAACUUAAAGUACUUUUCAUUGUUUAUUACGAGAAAAGAUGUUGUUAUUUUUUUUUAGCGUAGUUAGUUUAUUCAGUAAGUUCACUGGUUCUGAGUUUUCACUUUAAAAGGAAACUGCACUUUUUUGGGAAUUGUGUUCAUCUUUCACAAUCCUUAUGUAAUACAAAAACAUGUUUUUUUUUCCAAAGUCAGAUAACAAUGCAACUAAAGGUAUUAGCUUUCUUUUGCUUAUAUAGCGCUCUAAAAAAACAUCCACAAAUCUUCAUCAAUCACUUAUAUACACGCUGUCAGUAUGUUCGUAUGUAAUGUAGUAUGAGACACAUUAAUAAUAUGUAAUAUUUGCUCAUUUUAAGCAUACAGCUAUGUAUUAAUUUCACAGACGCAUUCCAAAUUCGCUUUUCCUUUAACAAUAACUACGAGUAAUCACAGCAGACUUUGUGAGAGACGACAAAGACAACUUUGAGACGAAUGAUGAUCCAGAACCUUAUAUUUUGGAGCCUGAAUAUACGGAAGACGAUCUACAAGUUUUAGACGCUGAGUGAUAAGUAGAUCCAGCAAGUAGCAGUAUUCCUAAUUGCUAAACAAGAAAUACAAACUAGAAACAUAAUAAAACAAUCACUUACUGUACAGCGUCUGUUCUCCCCGACAGAUGAGAUGUUUAUAUUUUCGGGGUUUGGAUGAAGAAAUAAUCAUAAUCUUCACGCUGGUAAAAGAAAAAACAUUGAAACAAGCAUAUUUUACUGUCUUUCCCGUAUAAAUUAGAUGUCAAAGUUGACCAACUUUUUGGUUAAUGGAAACAACCUUCUACUAUCCAGGUGAGAGGCAUGAUUUGUAAUGUAGACUGAACCUUUACCAGCUCUGUAUGUCAAUAUAGCAGCGUUAGCCCUCUGUGAGGUCAAGAUUUAUUCAUAUAGCACAAUUUUAAAACAGACUACUGCCCCAAAGUGCUGUACAUAUUAAAACAGAAAGCUAAACAUUUAAUAAUAAUAGUCGAAAUCAACAUAAGUACGGAAAUUCCUUUGAUAGUUAAAAUACAUUAGUGGGGGGAAAAAAGUAAAAUAUUUAAAAUCUCAGCAAAUAAUAAAAAUCACAAUACGUACAGAACAUUUAUGUAUAAAACACAGUUAAUGGAUAAAAGAACAACAUUAAAAUGUUCUUACAUGAUAAAACAUAGUUAAAGUACAUUAAAACAGUGGGGGGGGGGGGUAAAAUAUUAAAAAUAUUAGCAAAUAAUAAAAAUCACAAUAAGUACAGAACAUUUAUAUAUAAAACACAGUUAAUGGAUAAAAGAACAUUAAAAUGUUCUUACAUGAUAAAACAUAGUUAAAAUACAUUAAAACAGUGGGGGUUGGGGGGGGAUAUUAUAAAUAUUAGCAAAUAAUAAAAAUCACAAUAAGUACAGAACAUUUAUAUAUAAAACACAGUUAAUGGAUAAAAGAACGACAUUAAAAUGUCCAUACAUAAUAAAAGAUAGUUAAAAUACAUUUAAACAUUGGGGGAAAAAGCUAAAAUAUAAAAAAUAUUACCAAACAAUAGGAAUCACAAGUAUACAACAUUUAUAUAUAAAACAUAGUUAAUGGAUAAAAGAACAACAUUAAAAUGUCCAUACAUAUGUACAUUUCAGCUUGUGUUAAAAGCUGUGGUCACGGUCUGCGUUAGCUCUUAUAAUAACAAUAUCGCUAAUACUUGGUUAACUGUAAUGUUGUUUUUUUAGAGGGCCUCAUGGGCAAAAUGUUGUACUCCCAUUAGCUGCAUCGUACUUACUGUAUUUUGCGAAUUACAAUACAUAACAAAAAGAAAAACAUGUGGUCUUGUCUUACACGAAUGAAAACAUUUUAGCCUAUCGUUAACAAUCCUUAUUAAAGACAUGACGACAGAUGUGAUUGUUUUUUUUAAUGCAUUGUAACUUGUAAAUAAAAGCUUACAACAGAACCAAUGGGAGGUCCUCUAUUCCGCCCAUAAGACCCAAUAAAAAAACUUCCAAAAACCAACAACAAUACUCCAUUUACAAUUCGUCACUUGAAUACUGACCAAGUAUUAAUGAUAUUGUGAUUCUAAGCGCCAACGCACGCAAACAGUGGUCUGCUUGUGGAAGUUUAUUGUAGAUCAUAAAUAAUGCCUCUCCCCUGGAUAGUUGAAGGAUGACGAUGUAAUCCGACAAGAUGGUACAGUUUGACAGCCAAUUUAGACCUGAAAAUGGCGGACGACGACACCAAAAGACGCUUUGCCUUCGCGGGGAUUAUUUAUUUUAAGGGAAUAUAACGAGAUUGGGGCAGCACGGUUUUAUAGGGGGUAGUGCGUGUGCCUCGCAAUACGAAGGUCCUGGGUUCGAUCCCGGGCUCUGGAUCUUUCUCUGUGGAGUUUGCAUGUUUUGCGGUGACUUCCUCCUACUUCCAAAUACAUGCACCUGGGGAUAGGUUUAUUGGUAACACUAAAUUGGCCCUUGUGUGUGAAUGUUGUCUUUUCUAUGUGAGUUGGCCCUGCCAUGAGCUGGCGACUUGUCCAGGGUGUAGCCCGCCUUCCGCCCGAAUGCAGCUGAGAUAGGCUCCAGCAAUCCCCCCCACCCCGAACGGGACAAGCGGUAGAAAAUGGAUGAAAGGAUAACGAGAUUGUAACAGUCGGCAUCCUAAUGACAGCAGACCUUGUACUCAAAUUUGCUGGGCCGUGUCCUCGUGAAACGAAUGUUGCCUGACGCGUCAAGGCGGAUGUAAAGUAACAGGCUUUGGAGAAGUAGCUGCGUUCUGCACAGAUGGAGCCAACGAAGCACGAACUCACGCACACACUUUACCGCACCAGGUGUGUAUUUUUGGCAGCAGGAAGCAAACGUGAGCGAAAACACAAUAACAGGACAAACAUCUGUUGUGCAAUGUGCGAGCGUGCGUCGUCGACAUGUACUUUACCAUUAAAGCAUCGACGCAUGUACAGUUUUUACUGUGAGCUCCGCGAUUUUGAGUUGAACCAUCCAGCACUUUGAACAGUCCUCAUGCCUGAAUGUGGACUCUGCAUAGACCCUGCUUGUCCCUUCUUUUCCUCCCCUCGCCUCCCAAAAAGAUGAAUGUUUGCCUGCUCUCUGAAUUGAAGGCACAAGAGAUAUUUAACGUUUUCCUGAGUUGCCGUCGACAUCCGCACGUGCAUCUCCCCGCUCUCUUAAGUGUACUUGACUAUGCAAUAACGAUUGGCACACUAAAAAGGUUGUUUUCUCGGUUCAAAAACAGUACGGUUGCUUAUUCAGCGCUUAUAUUCAGGUGUUUGGUUACAAAGAAUGGCUUUGGUUUUGGGUUGAAAAAAAUAUUGGUGUUACCGUAUUGGCUUUUUUUAUAUAUAUAUAUAUAUAUAUAUAUAUAUCAUGUUUGAGGUGGAAUACGUCAAUGCACAACAUGUACUGUAAAUAUUAGGACCACACUGAACUGAGAUACAUUAUACGACAAGAAUAGUCAUAACAUUGAUUAUUUAAGUUGUGGUCCUUAAUAGAUCUCCAUUUUAAUAAGCAUGGUGUUUUUUUUUCCUUAGGGGCAGCUUUCCCAUCCUCUUGUUAUAAUUGUGAACCUUCGCUUAAGUUGCUGAGCGUCCCUUCCUCUCGUUCUUAUCUAAUGAUUAUGAAUGUUGUCACACACCAUAUAUUGUAAUUUAAAUACAAGCCGGAAUUAUCGCCACCUUUUGCCUCGUUUUGUUUUCUCUUUCUUCUUUGGCUGCGUUCAUUGACGACGUGUGUGUACAUAAUGGCUCAGUGUGGAUGUUUCAAUGCUGCUGAAUCCAAUUCUGCUGUUUACAAAAAGGCAAAUAAAGGUGGUGUUGACUAGAUCUGUGGGAA